rnacentral:rRNA from 1 species
CAAUAGCGUAUAUUAAAGUUGUUGCAGUUAAAAAGCUCGUAGUUGAAUUUCUGGGCGGCCCGCCGGUCUUCCAUGUGUUGUACUGGGCGGCGCCGGCCAUCCUUGUGGAGAGGGCUCGCAUUUGGUUGCGUGUCGGAUCUGCAUCAUUUACUGUGAAAAAAUUAGAGUGUUUAAAGCAGGCUGUCGCUUGAAUACAUUAGCAUGGAAUAACAAGAUAGGACUUCGGUCUAUUUUGUUGGUUGCGAACCGAGGUAAUGAUUAAUAGGGAUAGUUGGGGGUAUUCAUAUUUAAUUGUCAGAGGUGAAAUUCUUGGAUUUAUGAAAGAUGAACAACUGCGAAAGCAUUUACCAAGGAUGUUUUCAUUAA